rnacentral:rRNA from 1 species
AUUAGAUACCCGGGUAGUCCACGCCCUAAACGAUGGGUGCUAAAUGUCGGAACAUUAGUUUCGGUAUUGUAGCUAAGAGCAGUGACUGGGGUG